rnacentral:rRNA from 1 species
UACGUAGGGAGCGAGCGUUGUCCGGAUUCAUUGGGCGUAAAGAGCUCGUAGGCGGCUUGGCAAGUCGGGUGUGAAAACUCCAGGCUCAACCUGGAGACGCCACCCGAUACUGCCAUGGCUAGAGUCCGGUAGGGGACCACGGAAUUCCUGGUGUAGCGGUGAAAUGCGCAGAUAUCAGGAGGAACACCGGUGGCGAAGGCGGUGGUCUGGGCCGGAACUGGACGCUGGAGGAGCGAAAGCGUGGGGAGCGAACAGGA